UGAUUACUGCUCAGCCCUAACAAAGUUUGGAAGGACCUGUGACAGUCACCUUGUCUAAACUGUUGCUCAAAGCGGGGAUUAUACAUUGGGAAACAUGAGGAGAGGGUCGGUCUCUUCUCCCAGACAUCCCAACUCCUUCUGCAAUUGGAGGGCGAGCUAGAAUAAACAAGCAUGGGUUUUGGGCCCAAAACUGGAAGAGGAGCCCUAAUUCUUGCUGUGGAUGGUAAAUGUGGUCCCUGGGGUGAGGAGAGCUGGCUGUUCCUGGGACUGACUACAAGACGUACGAGGCUGGAAGGGAUAGCCUGAACCUCAGCUUUCCAAGAUAACCUCCACCUCACAGCUCAGUGUGCUGAAGCCUCAGACCUCACAACCACGUGGGAGCACAGAAGAGAUCCAGCUGCAAACUCAAAUUCAGACAAACUUCUAAGUAACACCAUGGCCAGGGAUGGCUUCACUUCGACCUGUAACUGAUCAAUUUUCAUAAGGCCCAAAUACCUAGAAAGUCAAAAAAAAGGCAAACAUACUUUUUAUAAUAAAUUUUUGAAGUUUACCUACACCCACAUCCCUGGGUGACCUACAAGUUGAUUCACUCAGGAGCUAUGUGAUGCAGCUACUGGAGGGAAUACCAGUGGACCUCUGCAGCAUAGGUCCAAGGCUGCCUGAACCCACUCAUUCACCUGAACUUGCCUCACAUCCAUGCUGGGUGGACACAAGCUAGGAGGCAACAUAUUUUUUUUUUGUGACUGAAUGCCAGGAGCAAAACCCUGGGUGGCGUGGGUCAAAGUGUACAGCAGCAUGUACCAACCACACAUGGAAAGAGCGUCAGACAGGCACUUGUCCCGUGCUUCCAGGAUCCCUCCAUUUGCUGCCCACGGUGAGACGUGUUUUAGAUCAUAUCUCUAACCAGCUUGCAUGGAGUAAAUGGUUCCAUGUCUUGGUGCAUUUCUAGGUCCUUCCCUGCAGUGCCUGUCCCAGUGCUGGUGUUGCUCUGCCUUUGUUGGGAUGGGUCCUCUCCCCAUCCCAACAAAGGAGAAGGCCAAACACAUCCCUCCUUGCUGGUCACCUGGCCAGAGCAGUACAUGGCAGAGUCCCUGUCAUUACAAAUUUGCUCCUUCCCAAAAGACAGGAAUGGCUGUUGCUACUUCCUACAGGAAGGAUUGUAACUUUACCUGUAGAAAGUUACACACGUCACAGCCAAGCACAGCUACAGCUCCAGCGCGUGCCUCCAACCACACCGUGCGCUUAACCAAAACCCAUUCCAAGUCAAGAUAAACUGAAAUGAAAUCCAUGGAAUAGUUUACUCAAUGCAAUUAGAGCAGAUCAGGUUUAAUUUCCCACUUAGCUUACCAUGGCAAUUGCUCAGCACCACCAAUACAGCCCCCUCCACUUGUGAACAAAGCACUUUGCUGCUGAUUCUUUUCC